rnacentral:lncRNA from 1 species
CAAAGCGAAGGAUCACCAUAUUCAUGAUAUUCUUCAUGGUGGCGUCGUGGAUUCGGCGUAUUUGACGGCGGUUCGUGGAUUCGGAUCGUGGGCUCGUGGAUUCGAGUGGCGUCGUGGAUUCGGCGUGAUUGAAGCUUCGUGGAUUCGAAGUGGAGGCGUUCGUGGAUUCGGACGUGAGGGCGUGGACAACCCGGAGGGUAGCGCGAAGAUUCAUAGGAGGUUAAGAGAGGUUAAGUCCGUGGAGUCGGUAAUCACCUUGUAAUCUUUUCUCUUAGUGAAUUGUUUUUUCGCGUGUUGGUCCCGUGGGUUUUUCUCCAAGUUGGAGUUUUCCCACGUAAAUCUCGGUGUGCUUUUUAUUUUCCGCAUUUAUUUUUAUUGCAUCGAGAUUUGUGGUUUUUGGCCGUUACACCUAUUCACCCCCCUCUAGGUGAUAGAUACAAUCUAGAUAGAUCCUUGGGCUCCUCAAAACUUUCAAUUGGUAUCAGAGCGGGAUCUAGAUAAAUUAUUAUCUAAUGGCCGAAGGCGGUAACGUUAAUCGACCACCGCUCUUUGACGGCACGAAUUAUGCCUAUUGGAAAGUUCGCAUGAGAGCUUUUCUAAUCGCAAUCGAUGAGCGGGUAUGGAAAGCGAUUGAAUUCGGAUGGAAACAUCCUACCGAAGUUGUCGAUGGUGCUACCGUCUCUAAACCACGAAACAAGUGGACAAAAGAUGAAAACGAGUCAUCUUCGUUUAACGGUAAAGGAAUUAAUGCUUUAUUCAAUGCCUUAUCGCAAACGGAGUUUACUCGGGUUUCGGCAUGCGAAACGGCGAAAGAAAUUUGGGACACUCUACAAGUUACGCAUGAAGGAACGAGCUUAGUAAAGGUCCAAAAAUUACAAAUGCUAACUAGCAAAUUUGAUUCAAUUUCUAUGGACGAAAAUGAGACCUUUACCGAGUACUAUACGCGUCUACAAGACGUUGUGAAUACAUGUUCUAACUUGGGAGAGAAAAUUCCGGAUUCAAAGGUAGUUAGAAAAAUUCUUCGAACUCUUCCGGAACGUUUUCGGGCUAAAGUAGCUGCAAUCGAAACGGUGAAACAUCCGGACGAGAUGAAAGUCGAGGAAUUAGUAGGUGCUUUGCAAACGUAUGAGAUGACUUUUCCUACUAAUCAAUCUUCUUCCAAGUCUUUCUCUAAAAGUACAGGGGUUGCGUUGAAAUCUACAAAGGAGAAGGACGAAGACUCGAGUUCCGACGACGAUUUAUCUCUUGCCAACUUCGAACACCAAUUAGCGCUCCUCAUGAAGAAGUUUCGUCGAAAUUUCCGGAACAAGAAUCGAUUGGACAAGACCUCAACGUCUAAGCGACAAUCUGUGUCUAAAUCAUCUUCAUCUUCAAAGUCGAAGGAUAAACGCCGUGCAAAGUCUUCAAAGGAAAAGGAUGAAUUUGAAGGAGAGAUCCAAUGCUACAAAUGUAAAGGUUUUGGCCACAUUGCGACGGAUUGUCCUUCGAAGAAGACGUAUAGACAAAAGGCUAUGCAAGCAAAGACGUGGGAUGAUUCAACAUCAAGUGAUUCAUCGUCAAGUGACGAAGAGAAGAAUGAUCAAAUUGCCUUAUUUGCUAAUACACCUUCGUCAAAUGUUGUGUGUUUAUCCUCUAUCGCUACUAAUUCUAAUGUUUCUUUUUCCUCGCAUGAUUCAUCGAGCGACAAUGGGGAAAGCGGGGAGGAUUCGAACGACGAGGAUAUAGCGGAAGCUUACAACCUACUUCUUAUUGAAUCAAAGAAGAUGGCUAAAUUAAAUAAGAAGUUGAGGCGUCGUAUGUUGCAUCUUGAAGAGGAUAACAACAACUUGAAAACCACGAACAAAGCGCUCGAGGAGGAAAGGGAAUCAAUUUUGAAAACGAAUUCGGACCUCCUCGGGAAGCUUAAUGAAGCGGAAUCAACGAUCAAAUCAUAUAAAGACAAGGUUGGAUUUUUGGAGCAACAAUUCGAGGAAUCAAACACAUCAAACGAGUCUUUGACCAAUCAAGUUCAUCAACUUCAAUCCGACAUUCAACGGUUUUCUUCCGGAUCAAAGAAAUUGGACCAUAUGCUCGGAUUGGGUCAAACGAACAAGCUUGGACUCGGUUAUGAACGCACAUAUGUUGAGAAGGCNNNNNNNNNNNNNNNNNNNNNNNNNUUUUGAGUUGGUGUGUGUUUUGUCACGAAAUUGCCAAAGGGGGAGAUUAUUAAGUCUUGUGUAUUGGCAAGUUUCGUGAAAUGAGUCGGAGUCUUGAAAAACCGGUGCGUAUCGUCGAAGAUCGAAAAAUUCAAGAUUUCGAAGAAGUCAGAAAACAUCCCACGACGUGAAUCACAAUGCUCAGGUAAAGUAUAAAUUCAUGUUAUGGUGAUUCAUACUUAGUUGUAGACAUUAGAAUCAUGUUAUCAAUGUCUAAUGGAUUAAAAAGUGCAUCGGAAUUUUACAAAACCCGAAACGGCGGAAAUUUGCAAAGUGUACCGGUACAGCAUCAGAAGUGUACCGGUACAAAAUGUGUACCGGUACGACCAUCAAGGGUGUAACCGGUUUCACUGUUUCGUCUGGUUUUUCGUUCCGUCAUCGUGUAACCGGUGACAGCCUAAAGUGUACCGGUACACAGUGUAAAAUCGUGAAAACUUUCUAAUCCGACUCCAAUUGAUUCUAAAGUCUAUAAAUAAGCUAUUGGGCUUCUCUAACAGAGCAAGCAUCAUAAGAAUACAUGUUUGAGAAACCCUAGAGGCUCGGAUUUUAUUCUAAACCUAUUUUCUACAAAUUAGUCUCUUUAGAUCAAAUCGAGAUAUCGUUUCGCAUUCUCUAUAUGUCGAUUUGAUCUCCGCUUCGCUUGGAGUUUUCUUCCUUGGUUUUCUACGAUACUCCUAAGCGAAGGAUCACCAUAAUCAUGAUGCUCUUCAUGAACGGCGUCGUGGAUUCGGCGUGAACAAAGGCGGUUCGUGGAUUCGGAUCGUUGGCUCGUGGAUUCGAGUGGCGUCGUGGAUUCGGCGUGAUUGAAGCUUCGUGGAUUCGAAGUGGAGGCGUUCGUGGAUUCGGACGUGAGGGCGUGGACAACCCGGAGGGUAGCGCGAAGAUUCAUAGGAGGUUAAGAGAGGUUAAGUCCGUGGAGUCGGUAAUCACCUUGUAAUCUUUUCUCUUAGUGAAUUGUUUUUUCGCAUGUUGGUCCCGUGGGUUUUUCUCCAAGUUGGAGUUUUCCCACGUAAAUCUCGGUGUGCUUUCUAUUUUCCGCAUUUAUUUUUAUUGCAUCGAGAUUUGUGGUUUUUGGCCAUUACACCUAUUCACCCCCCCCC